GAUGAAGAACGCAGCGAAAUGCGAUAAGUAAUGUGAAUUGCAGAAUCCAGUGAAUCAUCGAAUCUUUGAACGCACAUUGCGCCCGCCAGCAUUCUGGCGGGCAUGCCUGUUCGAGCGUCAUUUCAACCCUCGACCUCCCUUUGGGGAAGUCGGCGUUGGGGACCGGCAGCACACCGCCGGCCCUGAAAUGGAGUGGCGGCCCGUCCGCGGCGACCUCUGCGUAGUAAACCAACUCGCACCGGAACCCCGACGUGGCCACGCCGUAAAACACCCAACUUCUGAACGUUGACCUCGAAUCAGGUAGGACUACCCGCUGAACUUAAGCAUAUCAAUAAGCGAGGA
rnacentral:misc_RNA from 1 species